UCCUAAGUCAGACCUCUUGUCUAAAUUGGA
rnacentral:piRNA from 1 species